rnacentral:lncRNA from 1 species
GGAAGGUUGAGAUAAGUCACAGGAAACAAAUGGCCAACCCGGGACCCCGAGCAGAGUCUUCUUCAUGCAUCAUACGUCAGAGCAGGUCACUGUCUUUGAACGCUGUGAAUUCGAGACCACGUCGCAGAAGGCACAACCACCCAUUUGUGUGUGCUGAGGAGAUGCAUAGAAACACAGGGACAUUUGAGGCAGAGACAGCCCGGGACUACACGAUAAACCUUCCUGAGAGUGAGAGUAUAACCCAACCACACUGGCCAGGUGGCUCAGAUCCUGAUUGGGCUGAUAAUACUGUGCCUGGGUGUGACAAUCAGUCCUUUCCCCCUCUAUGACUAUGAUUCUCAAUUUUGCCUUACCACUGAAAUACGCUAUCACCUAUGGGGACCCUUCUCUGUGAGUAUUAGUGAUUGUUCCAGUGUUUCAAAUUUUUCAAGGGUCUUCAAGACCUUCAUCCUUGUCUCUCAAAAUCCCAUGCACUGCUGUUUAGGUCCUAAUCUUGGGCUGACUGGGUAGAUAAUACUGGCAGGGGAGUGGGGGAAAUCAGGUGGAUGGGACAAGCUCUGAGUGGGUUUUCUCUCUCUGGUCAGUUCUUCAUAUCUGGAGCGCUGUCCAUUGCUGCCGGAAGGAAAGUAACCAAGGGUUUGGUAAGUGUUUCCUUGCGGAGGCUCGGAUAGGUCUAGUGAAGUAAGGAGCUGUUCAGCUACGAGGCUAAGGCAUCUGCA